UUUAUAACUCACAAUUUAUAUUUUCUAUAUAGGAUCCAUUCUGGAACAGAAUGAAGAAGCCACUGCACCUUUUGGAUUGUUUACAUGUACUAUUGACCAGAUAUGUUGAGAAUCCUAGUCAGGUUUUAAAUUGUGAGAGGAGAAGAUUUACAAAUCUCUGCCUGGAUGCUAUUUGUGGUUACCUGGUUGAGCUACAGUCUAUGAGCCCAUCAGCAGCAGUACAGGCCAUCACGGGGAAUUUCAAGUCUCUUCAGGCUAAAUUAGAACGGCUUCAUUAAUUAUCCUAAUGUAUUUUUAUCCACAUGUUUUGACCUGUAAAAUAAAAUCUCAGCGUGGUUUAGAUAUCAA